rnacentral:lncRNA from 1 species
UGGUAUAUAUAUUUACAAAAUAAUGGUUUAACAUUACAAAAACGGUUACAUAGUUUGAAAGAACAAAUGAAUAGAAAGAAAGGAAACCAACUUAUCAGUAACUAGUUAAUAAGUAAAGAUUAAUGUUAAGUGCAUGGUUAGUAUAGUUAAGGUUAAUAUUACAUAACUAAAAUAACUCAAGAGGGGUAGAUCUAAUAUUAACAUUAAGGACAGGGUUAAGUUGAGAUAUUAAUAGGCUUUCACCUAGCUGUUGUUUUGCAAGAUUUCUAAUGUAGAAUUCACAAAAACGUGAAUUACAGUAAAGCCCCGCAUGAAAGAACCAGUGAAUGUUGACUUCAGGCUGAAGUGGUUGUUAUAUAAUCUUACUUCACACUAUACUUUUUUCUAUUCUAUACAUUAAUAAGGACUGUUGUUGCAUAAAACUAUUGCUAUGACACUAUAAAUAUCAGUGCAUUUUUUAAGGAUUCUUCAGUGGUGGGGCAAAACUGCCAAAGGGCCCAUUUUCCUUGCCUCCCCCCCCCCCAGGAUAGUAUGCGAUAGCCGAAGGUGUGAGCCUGAUGUGAGCCGAGUUCCGCAGGCACGAGUUAGCUAGGGGUCUGGGNNNNNNNNNNNNNNNNNNNNNNNNNNNNNNNNNNNNCCCUUCCCCCCCCCCCCCCCAGGAUAGUAUGCGAUAGCCGAAGGUGUGAGCCUGAUGUGAGCCGAGUUCCGCAGGCACGAGUUAGCUAGGGGUCUGAGAGCAUGCCCCCCCCAGGAAAUGUUUAAAAUUUGGGUCUCUGAAAUAGCAUUUUCUGCAUUCUGAAAACACAUUUAAAAAAAAUCUCAGCUUCUCAGAAGGCAGUUUUAAUGGUGAAAUUUGUAACAAAUUGCAUGCUAAACAUUCAAACACAACAUAAACUUCUUUUCAAUUUCAAUGUUAAACUCAUUUACUCAAUACAGGUCCUAGGGCCCUGACUUUGGGGCAAUAGGCCAUUCAGUGGUGGGGCCUAUGGGUGGGGCAGAGGAAGGGGCCCAGUGGGGCAAAUGCCCCACCAGUCCAUGGUACUAAAAAAUGCCUUGAUAAAUAUGGUUCUCGUUACAUAGCCUAUAUCUGAACUUGAAAAAACUUUUAAAAAAUUGUAUUUUGGUGUGCUUAAUUGCCCAAAUUUCAGGCUGGUGGUUCUUAACCUACUGGUUCUUUUAUGCGGGGCUUUACUGUAUUGCAAUCGUUUUUUCAAAAUCGGAAGUGCGGUAAAAACCGCAAUUUUCUGGUUUCGCGAAAAGUCAAUUCUUGUGCAACCAAAAAACACAUACAACAACUGACGAAUUAAACACGACACCGUUAGGUGUAUGAAGAUAUAUAAAUACUUUUAUUUUAUCCGUUGGCCGU